rnacentral:rRNA from 1 species
CACGUAGGGCGCAAGCGUUGUCCGGAAUUAUUGGGCGUAAAGAGCUCGUAGGCGGUUCGGCAAGUCGAAUGUGAAAUCUCCACGCUCAACGUGGAGGGGUCAUUCGAUACUGCCGUGACUUGAGUACGGUAGGGGAGUGUGGAAUUCCCGGUGUAGCGGUGAAAUGCGCAGAGAUCGGGAGGAACACCCGUAGCGAAGGCGGCACUCUGGGCCGAUACUGACGCUGAGGAGCGAAAGCGUGGGGAGCGAACAGG